UUUAAAUGAUUAAUUUCAGUAUGUUUAAAAUUACAUCUCAGUGUAUACUUUAGGCUAAUAAAGUAUGCCUUUUUAGGUGGCUUAAUAAUCUUUUACUAUUUUGUUAAAAUGGAAAAGAAUAUAAAAACAUAACAGUCCUUAUAGGGGAAUUUGAUGUAAUGUUGUUUAACAAAGUAAAUAAUAUGUUCAUACCUCAAAAUAUCAAACAUUGACAGUUUUGAGGUGCCACAACAAAAAUAAUACUUCAAUAUGAAUCAAGCUCAGAACACUCAAAAGUAAAAAAUAAAAUAAGGCUUUUUAGCUAUUUUAAAAAAAUAUAUGUGUUAGUCCUUAACACUAAAUGUAAGGAGUUAUCUUCAGUUUUACAUCUCUCCAAAUAUAAUCUGUUGUUUUCAGUUUUUUAACUAAAACACGGAAGCUGACGGAAUCUGUGAUGUACAGAUGUACACAUCUGUACAUCACACAUGUACAGAUCACACAUGUACAGAUGUGUGAUGUAAGAUCUGUUAUUGAACGGCAUUAGCUCCUGUUCACACUCCAGACCAGAUGGUGGAGGUAUUGCACACUUUCAGUUUUUUUGAAAAACGCCAUAAGGAGAAGAAAAGCCAUGAAGCCAGAGAAGAUAACAGACGCUGUUCAAAUUUGCCAUUUUUACUCGCAUAAUAUUGCCUUAAAAGUAGAGAGGGCCUUGAUGAUAAGUAGUUUUGGUAAAUUCAAGCUGGUGACAUCAUACUCCGAGUUAGACGACAACACAACUAGACAAGAACCGGAUGGAAGUGAAAUAUGUGUCACCAAAGGAGCCCGAAGGGACGAAGGCUGCUAACGUGUUGCUAGUUGGUGCUCUUACGGUGAAACUAAGGGUUUACUCCCAAUAAACCUGUUCAUCAGUAAAGCCAAAUCCUUCAUUUGAAGGGGCGUCUGCUCUAGUAAGAGCUUAGACCUCCAGGAGUAAGAGCUUUACUUCCGGGAGAAGAGUUUCGCCUUCGGCAUUAGGAACGAGCUCAAUGAACGGGCCCUGUGAUGGACUGGUGACCGGUCCAAGGUGAACCCCGCCUCUCAUCUGAUGACUGCUGGAGACGGGCACCACCAGCCCCCCUCAUCGUGGCUGAGGGUCCUCAGGUUGAGGGUCCUGAGGGAUCAGUGUGCAGGACCAGCCACACUGAUCCUGCAAGGAUCAGCGUGUUCAGAUCAUGGAUGAGAAGCUUUUAAGGCAAAGAAGACACCCAGAAAUGUUUUUUCACCCCAGGCAGCAGGUCUCAAUCAUCAUCAGUUCUGAUGAUGUCACAUACAUAAGCGAAUCCACAACGGCUUAAAAUUGUUUCUGUAAAGCGCAGUGGUCCAGUGAAUAGGAAUCUUCUGUUGUUGAUCCUCACUGUUCUUAGGACGGAGAAAUGUCAGUUUGUCUGGAAUAAUACUGGAAUACUGUGACAUUGUAUUAAAAUAAUACUCUAUCCUUGGUGAAAUAUAUUUCACAUUUCCUCUAAAGUGUAUCUAUUGUUUUAUUGUGCUGAUUUUCAUAAGCAUGUUGUCUGUAAACUUUAAAUGUAUUGACAAUUUGUACAAUUCUGUGAUAGCAUAUUGGCAAUGUAUUCUUGAAAAAUGUGAGGAAGACUUUAUUUGACAGGGUGUGCAUAAGACUGACAUGAUACUGUCAUAAACAUAACACCUGUGAGGAACAUACUAAUAGGUGUUAUGAAGUGUUAUUCGGUAAAUAAUGACACUUCUAAUGAGAAGUUGCUUUAAAAGUUGGAUGACAGUGUUAUGUCAGACCUAUGCACACCUCAUCAAACAAAGUGUGACCAAAAUGGUAAUAUAUUGAAAGCACAAUGUAAUUAGUUUCACCUGUAAAGUGUGUUGUAAUUGAUCCUGAUGUGUUUGCAGUGCUGCAGUGUGUAUGAAGCAUGUAAUGUACAAAGUGGCAAAGCAGAAUAAUAAAAUACAUUAAGUAACUAAAAAGUGUACUUCAUCAGCAAUUAUAAUAAAACAAAAGUGUAAUUGUAGCAUACUGUAAUCACAUUACUAAUGCAUAAAAUAUGUAAUGCCGAUAUACUUAAAAUACAUUCUAAGUAUAUUUUAAAUGUAAUUGAAUAACAAAAUAGUACACUCAAAAUAUACUAAACAUGCAUGUUUAUAUUACAUAAAAAGCAAUACACUUAAAGUACACUAAGUUUAGCUUAAGUUGUCCAAAAACGUUUGUUGAAGUACACUUAGUACACUUUAAAUUGUGCUUUAGUACAAUUUAAAUACUACUAAAAUACACUAAGCCCAAAAUUAGUUGUUCCAAAAUGUCACACUUUAAGUUAACUAAUUCUAAGUGAACUUGAAGUAUACUCAUGAUUAAUCUGACUUAAAGUAUGCUAUGUAUGUAUGUUAAAAUUUAACAUACUUUGUAUAUACAUUUUUCACCAGGGUAGUUUUUCUCUAAAAACAAAAAACACUAUGUUUAAACUUUAAUAUUGUGGCAUGAUAUGAACAAACAAAAAUGAAUGACAGCACCAGAGAGCAGAAAAUCAUCACAUAGAAAAAGGGAUAGCCUGGCCAUUGCCUUCCUAUAAAAUUCCACUCUAUUCAAAUCUCUCUUUGCAACUCCAUCUGGGCUUGCCUUUCUCCCACUGAAUUGGCUUCCAUCAUUUCUACCAGGCCAAUCAGCGAACAGAAGGAGAAAUUGUGAACAAGGACAUUGAUUUUCUUUUCUGUGUUAGCAUACUCUCCCUUUAGUUGCAGCAAUUUCAGCUGAGGAGUUGAACAAAGCCGUUCAGUCCAUACUGACCAUGCAAGCAAAUAUUGGUACUCCUGUCUUAGCAGUGGAGCAAGCUAAGACAGCAUGCUCCACUGCUGGAGCAUGGUUGUUAAUAGUGCAGGAAAGUUCUGGCAAGCUUCAUAACAUUGAACUGGCACAUUACAUACAACAUGGACAAAUGUUAGUGAUUGUAUAAAAUUUAAAACUUCAAUAGAAGCCAUGGCUCAAGGAAGCAAUCUUUUCUCAACAAUCAAGAAUCCAGACUGUACAAAGCAAAUAGCAUAGAACAAGGCCUGGUUUUCACCAGGCAUGGAAAGCAGUGAUAGUUUAACUUUUUUCGGUAAAACAAACACAAUUAUUUGCAAGGUCACAUCAUCAGUCAGAGCCUGUCGGUCAUGAAAAUGAGCACACAACUCACUUAUGAUGCAGUUUAAUGUCUAAAAACUAGCUAAUAAGCGCUCUACUGCUCUGAAAGUAGCUUCAUUCUUGAUGAACUGACUGCAUAGACAAAGCUCUGGAGUCUGCGUUUUUACCUUAAACAUCUUAAAACAAAUGUUUGUGACAAAUAAAAGAGUGGUUUAAUUAGUUACCGCUGCUGGUGGCACAAUGCAUCGUGCAAUGUCUUGCUGGCCAAUUCCUGCUGUCACAUAUAAAUCAAUGUCCUAAAAAAGAAAUAAAUGUUUUUAUAUGGCAAACAAGUGAAGUUAUGUUGUGUGAUUUAAGUAGGUAAGUUUUAAGGUAUUUGGUCUCUAGACUUUUCCAUGGUAAACAAUAUUCUGAAACUUAAGUGUUAUUCUCAAAUUUACUUUUUCUGCCUACAUCAGCAUUGUUUUACAUACAUUAAUAAGCCAUGGUAUCAUCAGUGUAUAUUUUGUUUUUCCAACACAGAAAUCAGCUAUACAAAUGUUCAAAACUUUUUCUCCGGUUUGCAGGUUUGCUUGAGCAGAAAUGAAGUAACAUCUGGGGAUAUCCUGAAUGUUAAGCAUUUCCUCAAUUUAACUUAUUUUUUUAAAGUAGAGCAGAAUAUUUUUAUCAGUGUACUUCAAAUCACUGCUGGUCCAUUGGUGCUCUGGAACUCUGAAGACAAGGCUGUGUUGUGGAGUCAACUGUGAGCCUUGAGCUCUUGUGGAAUUAAACCACGCCUAAAACAUGCUGGAGGGUUUUUCAGCUGGCUGUGUAACAGCUUGGGAGUCCCUAAAAUAAGCAAAAGAAAACUAAUAAUGUAACAUGUUAGUCAAUGUUUUCUUUCAGCCAAAAGA